UACGUAGGUGGCGAGCGUUAUCCGGAAUUAUUGGGCGUAAAGAGCGCGCAGGUGGUUGAUUAAGUCUGAUGUGAAAGCCCACGGCUUAACCGUGGAGGGUCAUUGGAAACUGGCCGACUUGAGUGCAGAAGAGGGAAGUGGAAUUCCAUGUGUAGCGGUGAAAUGCGUAGAGAUAUGGAGGAACACCAGUGGCGAAGGCGGCUUCCUGGUCUGUAACUGACACUGAGGCACGAAAGCGUGGGGAGCAAACAGGAUUAGAUA
rnacentral:rRNA from 1 species